UUCGUUAGCAUGUUGCCAUGUUUAAUAAAAUGAGAUACAAUAACUAAGUUAAUAAACCUAGUUAAAUGCCUAUUAGAUAAGCUAAAUGAUGAAACUUGUGGCAUAUAUGAUAGUAAGUUAAAACUUGAGGGACUUAGAGUGCCAAACUUGGAAGUUAAUUUAUUAAAACAAAAAUCUAACACACACAAGGUGUGUGUGUGCGUGAGAAUGAUCAGGAACAAGGGGAAACCCUUGUUCUUCAACUACUUACAAGAACUCAAAAAUUGAACCUGAUUUUGAGAAGAAAUCGAAUGCAUGAGGCUAGGUACAACUUAAUCUAAGUGUAUUGAUCAUAAGCAUUAGGGAUCAUGUGGACGUGGACUCAAGCACGAAAGACUAACGGGUCAAGAGGGGACAAGGAAGCCAAUGCGAAAAUGGACGCUCAAGGUUGUGCGGGUCACGGAGGAUCAUCAAGGAAUAAAGAUCAAAGACCGAGUCACUUAAGGGAUUGUACGGGGUUGUCUAAGGAUGUAAAUUGUUAUACAUAAGCUAUGAUUUAUUCUAUAACUGAGUCAGUUUUUCGUAUUCGAUAUAAAAGAGUUAUUAUAAAAGUGAACUUUCAAGUAAGACGUAAGGUUUAUAAUGAAAGAAUUUUUAUGGCA